UUUCCGUAGGUGAACCUGCGGAAGGAUCAUUCAUAAUGAUGUGUUUUAUGGCACUUUUUAAAAAUCCAUAUCCACCUUGUGUGCAAUGUUAGAUCUCGUCAAUCUUGGCGAGAUUUUUAUACAUCAACUCAUUCUUUAACUAAUUUGUCUGAAAAAUAUUAUGAAUACUUAAUUCAAAAUACAACUUUCAACAACGGAUCUCUUGGCUCUC
rnacentral:misc_RNA from 1 species